UCAGAAAUGAGUAGCUCCAAGAUUUUUUAUUAUUUUUAUUGUAGUAAUUUUAUUCGUAUCUAUUAUUGGCUGUUCAAAUGAAGGCUUUAGUGACAAUGAAGGCUUUAGCGUGUGAAUCCAAAGUUUUUUAAUCUUUCAACAAAUUUUACAAGAAACUAUACACUUGAUGAACAUGUCGAAGGUGAUUAUGAGUUAUAAUGUGGAUUUGGUUACGUAAAAUAUAAUGGGGAUGACGAAAUUUUCUUCUGUGAUAUUGUCAAUGUACAUGUAUCGUAUAUAAUGGUAGAAAUUAAACAGGUUUUGGUGAAGGAAAAGCUUGGAUAGAGCGUGGAGAAAUCGGUCAAGAUGCCGGAAUAUAUUUUUGUUAUCAAUCCAGCAAAACUAGGCGUUUUUCUUAUAAUCACGCCGUCUAUGGUUUUUUAAAGUAACAAGAAAAAAAACGAAUUCUUAAUAACGGUCCGUAUUUAUUGAAUGGAAAUAAUUGUAGUGUUUCUAUUCAAAGUGAAACAAAUGAAAACACAAGAAUGAAUGUGAGUCUUCUACUGAGAUUUUAUUGAAAUGUAACACCAGCAUAAAAAAAUGGACAUUUUUCGUAUGGCAGCGUUACAAUUUAAUGAAGUCUCACAUUCGUUCUCGAAUAAUGAAAUAAUAAACAUCCUUCAAUUAUCAAGUUAUAUAGAUACAUUAUUUUAUCAACACAUUUGGCUCGCACUUUUUUCUUUUCCGUUGAAAAAAAUUAUUCACUUGU